UUCCCUGCCGACAGUCGACCAUGGGGAGCGGAGGCAUCAAGUGGAUCGGCUACCUCCCCAAGGCGUCGUCGCGGCUUCCGGCGGGAGGUCCGUCGGUGUCCACUGCCUUGUCUCACCGUAGUCCGCAGUUAUGGCGCCGCGCUCGUCCCAGAUUUCGGCUUCUCCCGCCGCAAGACCGGCUCCUCCUCUUGAUUCGUCCUCGCGCAAUGUGAUGCGGGCAGCCAUGGUGGAGCUCGGGUCGGGAUAGUGGAGGUGGUGGUGGCUGUUGUGCCGCCACUGAAGACCACGGGCGGUGGCAGGGCAGAGGCCGCAGCGAGCGACGAGGGCGGCCGCCAUCCAGCGGGUCUUCGCGGGCCCGACACCGGCCAUGCGGCUGCCGACCUAGCCUACUAGCGCCAUGGAUGAUGCCAGAAAGACGGUUCAACUAAUUGAACAAACUACUCCUUAGAUCGAUGCAUGCAAAGUCGUUGGUUUGGCUCAUCCUCAUCCAGGUGACAGUGGCGCUCCAUUACCAUAGUGAUCGACUAAUGGUCUGUUUGUCAGGAAGAAUUAACAAUCUACAAUCGUGAAGGCAUUUUUGAUCUUUAUCAGCAGGGAAAAUUAAUCAGUACAUUCUACAAGGAAAAGAACAACGAAAAAGAGAUCAUGAAGGCUAUACUUUUGGUCCCUGAGAUUCAUCACCGUCCUCAUGGAUUCGAGGAUCGAUGCUUGAAGAAGCCAUGGGGAACAAGAUGCCCCUUUCCUUCAGCCCCUAGGUCGCCUUGCUUUUGCCCGAUUGAUGCACCUUAGCCUUGUGAAUUUCCUUCUUCUGCCUGAUAUUGAAUUUGUUUGACGUGCUUCUGCCAAGGAUCUUGUUCCUGAUUUAUGCAGGCGAUGGUGAGAUUUGCGUGUUUGUGUGUUUUCGAUUGGAUUAACAAAGGUCUAAGAGGUUUGGCGCCCAAACC